AAUCUUGCGCAAUGGGCGAAAGCCUGACGCAGCCAUGCCGCGUGAGUGAUGAAGGUCUUAGGGUUGUAAAAUUCUUUCACCGGGGACGAUAAUGACGGUACCCGGAGAAGAAGCCCCGGCUAACUUCGUGCCAGCAGCCGCGGUAAUACGAAGGGGGCUAGCGUUGUUCGGAAUUACUGGGCGUAAAGGGAGCGUAGGCGGACUGUUUAGUCAGAGGUGAAAUCCCAGGGCUCAACCUUGGAAUUGCCUUUGAUACUGGCAGUCUAGAGUACGGAAGAGGUGUGUGGAAUUCCGAGUGUAGAGGUGAAAUUCGUAGAUAUUCGGAAGAACACCAGUGGCGAAGGCGACACCCUGGUCCGUUACUGACGCUGAGGCUCGAAAGCGUGGGGAGCAAACAGGAUUAGAUACCCUGGUAGUCCACGCCGUAAACGAUGAGUGCUAGUUGUCGGCAUGCAUGCAUGUCGGUGACGCAGCUAAC
rnacentral:rRNA from 1 species